GACGAAGGGGGCUAGCGUUGUUCGGAAUUACUGGGCGUAAAGCGCGUGUAGGCGGUUGCCAAAGUCGGGUGUGAAAUCCCGAGGCUCAACCUCGGGUCUGCAGUCGAUACGAGCAAACUAGAGUGUUGCAGGGAGACUGGAAUUCCUGGUGUAGCGGUGAAAUGCGCAGAUAUCAGGAGGAACACCGGUGGCGAAGGCGGAUCUCU
rnacentral:rRNA from 1 species